UAAAAAGGACCGAGCCCCUGAGGAAUCCACCGCCGCCAAUGACUCUGGGAAGAUCAAGCGGGGAAGAACAGGCAGCGCUCACCUUUGGGGACAGAAAUCAAAGCAGAGGCUGGAAGGGGAUCGAGCAACGAUGGAGGGCGUGAAGGGAAUACUUUCAGAGUGAUGAAAAUAUACUAUCAUUUGAUCAUCCGCAUUCUCGGCCCCAGACUCAGCCUGCAGCAGGAGGAAAUCACCAUCACUUCUUAAAGGCCCAGCUCAAGUGCCACCUCGUCAGACAGAACUGGACCGUAAAACUGAAAGAGGGACGCGCCUGGGUGGCUCAGUCCGUGAAGCAUCUGCCUUCGGCUAGGGUCAUGAUCUCAUGAUCCUGGGAUCAAGCCCCGCGUC